GUGCUCGCUUCAGCAGCACAUAUACUAAAACUGAAAUGAUGCAGAGAAGAUUCACAUGGCCCCUGCUCAAGGAUGACAUGCAAAUUCGUGAAGCAUUCCAUAUUUUU
ensembl:snRNA U6 U6 spliceosomal RNA